rnacentral:rRNA from 1 species
UACGAAGGGGGCUAGCGUUGUUCGGAAUUACUGGGCGUAAAGCGCACGUAGGCGGAUAUUUAAGUCAGGGGUGAAAUCCCGGGGCUCAACCUCGGAACUGCCUUUGAUACUGGAAGUCUUGAGUAUGGAAGAGGUAAGUGGAAUUGCGAGUGUAGAGGUGAAAUUCGUAGAUAUUCGCAGGAACACCAGUGGCGAAGGCGGCUUACUGGUCCAUUACUGACGCUGAGGUGCGAAAGCGUGGGGAGCAAACAGGG